rnacentral:tRNA from 1 species
UCCCGUGUGGCUCAGUUGGUAGAGCAUGGUGUUUGCAUGGUGUUUGCAAUGCCAGGGUUGUGGGUUCGAUUCCCACGGGGGAA